GUGAUCAUGUCUGUAACACACACGAAACUGAAACAACGCAGAGCAGAUGAGCAAGGCGCCAGCACGAGGAUGGCACGCAAAGUCACGUGGCAUUCAGUAUAUAU
ensembl:snRNA U6 U6 spliceosomal RNA